AGACACGCGCGGCCAUUCAUUUUCCUUGGCAUAUUAAUUAUUUUUUUUUUUUAUAUACAAUCAUACUACAGGAGUAGUACUGGUACUACCCUAUAAACACAAUUUCUCUCCAUUCUUAAAACAAGCGGUCCAACUAUAUAUUAAAAAAUCCAAAAUAAAAUAACUCAAAAAAUAAUACAUAUCCAAAAUAAAAUAGUAAUUCCAAAAAUAAAACAUACCCAAAAUAAAUUAGAUCUUUUACAAAACAAAAUAGGAAUUUUUUUUGAACCAAACCCAAAACAAAAUAGAAGCAAAAAACAAAAUAGGAUUGACUCUUCAUGUCUUCAACUUCCUCUGCAAAAUUCUUUGAAAUAUCACUCCUCCUUAUAUUACCAACAUAUUCCUAUAAAGAACAUAAAAAUAGAAUAAUUUUUUUUGUUAGUAAGAAAUAUAUAAAUUUUUACCUAUUGCAAUAAAUAAAAUGAAAUAUAAAUUUGUCAAAAAAUUAAGCUUAUCUAAUAAGAACUUUCAUCUAACAAUAACCUCCAAAAUAUAUUCACACGGAACAAAAAAAAAUUAAGCUUGAAUAAAUAAAACAGUUUAAGCUUAUCUAAUAAGAACUUCCAUCUAACAAUAACCUCCAAAAUAUAUUCACACGGAACAAAAAAAAUUAAGCUUGAAUAAAAUAACAGUUUAAGCUUCUAUCAAAAAAAAAAAAUAACAGUUUAAGCUUAUCUAAUAAGAACUUCCAUCUAACAAUAACCAAGUAUGCAUCAGAAAGAAAGAAAAAAAAUCACUAAUGGGAAAAAAGAAGAAAAUUUAAGCUUGAAUAUUAGUACCUUAUAGAUAUGAGUUGCUGCAGGAAAAGUUAAACAUGAAAAAAGAAAGAGUACAGUAUAUGAGAAAAGAAACAAAAUACACAUGCAUAACACUUUCUAGAAAAGUGGUACAGUACAAAUAUGUGAAGAAAGAGGUAUGUGUAGAGACUUAGCAAAUAUGUGAAGAAAGAGGAAUGUGUAGAGACUUAGCGCG
rnacentral:lncRNA from 1 species